rnacentral:rRNA from 1 species
UGGGGAAUAUUGCGCAAUGGGCGAAAGCCUGACGCAGCAACGCCGCGUGAGUGAUGAAGGCCUUCGGGUCGUAAAGCUCUGUCGGAGGGAACGAAUGCUCUUGAGGUUAACAGCCUCGGGAGGUGACGGUACCCUCAAAGGAAGCACCGACUAACUCUGUGCCAGCAGCCGCGGUAAUACAGAGGGUGCAAGCGUUGUUCGGAAUCAUUGGGCGUAAAGGGCGUGUAGGCGGUAUGUUAAGUCAUGUGUGAAAUCCCUCGGCUCAACCGGGGAACGACGCAUGAAACUAGCAAGCUAGAGUACCAAAGAGGGUGGUGGAAUUCCACGUGUAGCAGUGAAAUGCGUAGAUAUGUGGAGGAAUACCGAUGGCGAAGGCAGCCCCCUGGGUCAAUACUGACGCUCAUGCACGAAAGCGUGGGGAGCAAACAGGAUUAGAUACCCACGUAGUCCCUGAGCGGGCUGGCAAGGCGCAU